CCGACCUUAGUUCAGAUGGUAGAGUGGAGGACUGUAGAUCCUUAGGUCGCUGGUUCGAAUCCGGUAGGUCGGA